rnacentral:rRNA from 1 species
UAACACAUGCAAGUCGAACGAAGCGGCAGUGAAGGAGGCUUCGGCCAAUGGAGUCUGUCGACUUAGUGGCGGACGGGUGAGUAACGCGUGAGCAACCUGCCUUUCAGAGGGGGAUAACGUUUGGAAACGAACGCUAAUACCGCAUAAUGUAUCUUUGCUGCAUGACAGAGAUACCAAAGGAGCAAUCCGCUGAAAGAUGGGCUCGCGUCCGAUUAGAUAGUUGGUGGGGUAACGGCCUACCAAGUCGACGAUCGGUAGCCGGACUGAGAGGUUGAACGGCCACAUUGGGACUGAGACACGGCCCAGACUCCUACGGGAGGCAGCAGUGGGGAAUAUUGCACAAUGGGCGAAAGCCUGAUGCAGCAACGCCGCGUGAGGGAAGACGGUUUUCGGAUUGUAAACCUUUGUCCUUGGUGAAGAUCAUGACGGUAGCCGAGGAGGAAGCCACGGCUAACUACGUGCCAGCCGCAGC